AAAUGAGCCCUGCUCCAGAGGACAGCCUAGAGCUUUGAGUUAGGCUUCUCAGCUCCUUGCACUGCUCAUGGAGAGUUAGCAGGACAUCCUGAGGCUCAAAGCAGAGAUAGAAACCCAGCAUGAUCUGAAGGCUGCUCUUCUGACACAGCUUCUCAAAUGUUUUAUCCUGCUCCAUUUGAAAAUUAGCGUACACAGACAUAUCUGUGAUUUUAUUUUUUAGGAGCUACGCUGAAAUAUGAUCUGACAGUGCAAAAGGUGCAUGGGAGAGUGAAGGUGAGGGCAUAUCAAGAUGCAGAAACUUAGUAUAACUGCAGUGCACUACUCCUUUCCUUCAAAAUGAUCAAGAGAUGCUAAUGAGGCAACUUCACUUUGCACUGUGACGCUGGCAGAGCGUGGGCCAGCACCAGCGAGGGGAUUGACCAGAGCAGGGUCUGGGUGCCAGCACACAGCUACCUUCCCCAGGGCCAAGUCAUCAUUACCAAAACUAUGAAAUCCCAGAGUGGAUCUUCCUGCUGAAUAAUGAAACAAUGACUGAAGAGAACUGCAAGCACCAUCACAGAGAUGUCACUCCAGCAAUUAGGCAUUGUGAAAACUGCUCUGGUCUUUGAUCCUGUUCUGGGAAACUCACAUGUGACCCAGGGACUGUGCCUAAUGCUGGAAUUACUGACAUCUGUACAUCAUUUCAGUGGCAAAUUACAGCUGGGACAUGCUAACCCCAAAGUAAAAUAA
rnacentral:lncRNA from 1 species